GACAGAGGUGCCGAGCGUUAGGCGGAAUCACUGGGCUUAGAGCGUGUGUAGGCGGGUCGUUAAGUGUCUUGUGAAAUCCCACCGCUCAACGGUGGAACUGCUGGGCAUACUGGCGAUCUUGAGCCACCUAGGGGCAGACGGAACAAGCGGUGGAGCGGUGAAAUGCGUAGAUAUCGCUUGGAACGCCGACGGUGAAAACAGUCUGCUGGGGGUGUGCUGACGCUGAGACACGAAAGCCAGGGGAGCGAACGGG
rnacentral:rRNA from 1 species